rnacentral:rRNA from 1 species
UACGUAGGGGGCAAGCGUUGUCCGGAUUUAUUGGGCGUAAAGAGCUCGUAGGCGGUUUGGCAAGUCGGGUGUGAAAACUCCGGCUCAACUCGGAGACGCCACUCGAUACUGCUAUGACUCGAGUCCGGUAGGGGAGUGCGGAAUUCCUGGUGUAGCGGUGAAAUGCGCAGAUAUCAGGAGGAACACCGGUGGCGAAGGCGGCACUCUGGGCCGGAACUGACGCUGAGGAGCGAAAGCGUGGGGAGCGAACAGG